rnacentral:rRNA from 1 species
AACUAACGCUGGCGGCGUGCCUAACACAUGCAAGUCGUACGAGAAAGUUGGCUUCGGCCGAUGAGUAAAGUGGCGCCGGGUGAGUAAUGCGUGGAUAAUCUGCCCUUUAGUUGGGAAUAACGUACCGAAAGGUGCGCUAAUACCUGAUAAUACUGCAUAACUACUGUUGUGUAGUCAAAGAAGGCCUCUGUUUACAAGCUUUUGCUGAAGGAUGAGUCCGCGUACCAUUAGCUGGUUGGUGGGGUAAUGGCCUACCAAGGCUACGAUGGUUAGCUGGUCUGAGAGGAUGAUCAGCCACACUGGAACUGAGACACGGUCCAGACUCCUACGGGAGGCAGCAGUGAGGAAUAUUGCGCAAUGGGGGCAACCCUGACGCAGCAACGCCGCGUGAGUGAGGAAGGUUUUCGGACCGUAAAGCUCUGUCGAGCGGGAAGAAAUGUAUCAUGGCUAAUAUCCAUGAUACUUGACGGUACCGCUAAAGG